AGUGAACGCUGGCGGUAGGCCUAACACAUGCAAGUCGAACGGCAGCACAGGAGAGCUUGCUCUCUGGGUGGCGAGUGGCGGACGGGUGAGGAAUACAUCGGAAUCUACUCUGUCGUGGGGGAUAACGUAGGGAAACUUACGCUAAUACCGCAUACGACCUACGGGUGAAAGCAGGGGAUCUUCGGACCUUGCGCGAUUGAAUGAGCCGAUGUCGGAUUAGCUAGUUGGCGGGGUAAAGGCCCACCAAGGCGACGAUCCGUAGCUGGUCUGAGAGGAGGAUCCGCCACACUGGAACGGAGACACGGUCCAGACUCCUACGGGAGGCAGCAGUGGGGAAUAUUGGACAAUGGGCGCAAGCCUGAUCCAGCCAUACCGCGUGGGUGAAGAAGGCCUUCGGGUUGUAAAGCCCUUUUGUUGGGAAAGAAAUCCAGCUGGCUAAUACCCGGUUGGGAUGACGGUACCCAAAGAAUAAGCACCGGCUAACUUCGUGCCAGCAGCCGCCGUAA
rnacentral:rRNA from 1 species